GCCCACAAGUCCCCUCAAAACCCCAGAACAACACAGUGCUCAUUAUCGAUUUUAGACAAAAAUCCCAAAAUCCCCACAAAAUCCAGACUCAAGUUUCUUCGUAUGAAAAAUAUAGGGCAAAAAAAACCAUCGUUAACCGGUAAAUCAUUCAAUAUCGACUUUGGUGUUUCGAAUUGAUUAUUAUUCUUCCUUUGCAGACUAUUUCUUGAAGCUUGUUGCUUUAGUUUGCAUCAUUAACGAUUUCCAAGUCACGACAUGGAUCUGUAAUACUGAGGUUUUUGGAAUACUUUGGAUAGACUCGGGCAUCAAUGCACUCUAGGUGUUCGUGUAAAUGUUGAAAUCAAGAGCAAUAAUUCCAGUGUCAUCCAAAGUCCUACAAAGAUCAUUGAAUUUAAUGGAGAUGGAAGUGGUCCUUACCAAUAGAUAUUUCAAUACUGGGUCAUUUUCUUUUUGUCUUUAUUUCCAUGUAGCUUCCUCUUAUUAGAAGUGGUGAUUGUUUUUAAUCACACACUUAGAAGCUUUCAAUUUAGUUUGUCUUCUUGAAAAAUUAUCAAAUCACAGUUAUGGUAGCUAUGAUGUUCAUGGCAUGAUCACUUUGAAGCUUUCGGUCUAGUGGUCCUUCUUGGCGUGUUCAUGACUACCGAUGUUUACCAGGUGCAUGUCAUCGAGCAGACCAACUAGUUCAAAAAGAUGUACAACUUAAUCCUAUGUGACAUGAUAUAUAGCUUGCAAAAAAUGGUCAUUCCCUACAGAUGGGGGAUAUUCCUUCAGAAGUUCACUUAGAUUUUGUUAUUA